AGUUGCAAACCAAAUUUUUCACGCAAAAUCGAAUACCUUUAUUCGACUUUGAUUUUCUACUAUGAUGAGCAGUCGAUGUAGACUGUCUAGUUAAUAAAACCUAUUCUAACGGCGGAUCCCGGUUAGUAUGACAUCAUCGGAAUACUAUCCGUCGAUUUCUCCGUUCUCAUUACGUCAGCGAUGAUAUAACGGGUUAAAUAACAAACUAAUUUUACGAAUUCUUGAAGCAUACAUUACUUCGACCAGGAAA